GCCGGGAUAGCUCAGUCGGCAGAGCAGCUCACUCGUAAUGAGCAGGUCCGGGGUUCGAAUCCCCGUCCCGGCUCCA
rnacentral:tRNA from 1 species